GACGAACGCUGGCGGCGUGCUUAACACAUGCUAGUCGAACGAGACGAUUGAAAGCUUGCUUUUGAAAGUCGAGUGGCAAACGGGUGAGUAACGCGUAGACAACCUGCCUUUGAGAUGGGGACAACAGUUCGAAAGGACUGCUAAUACCGAAUGUUGUAUAUUUUCCACAUGGAAGAUAUAUUAAAGAUGGCCUCUAUUUAUAAGCUAUCGCUCAAAGAUGGGUCUGCGUCUGAUUAGCUGGUUGGUGGGGUAACGGCCUACCAAGGCGACGAUAAGUAGCCGGUCUGAGAGGAUGAACGGCCACAUUUGGACUGAGACACGGCCCAGACUCCUACGGGAGGCAGCAGUGGGGAAUCUUCCACAAUGGACGGAAGUCUGAUGGAGCAACGCCGCGUGAGUGAAGAAGGGUUUCGGCUCGUAAAGCUCUGUUGUCGGGGACGAAUGUGCAGUAUUUGAAUAAAGUACUGCAAUGACGGUACCUGACGAGGAAGCCACGGCUAACUACGUGCCAGCCGCCGCGGUAA
rnacentral:rRNA from 1 species